GCACUGAUGAAGAGUCCCACGAUAGGACGAAACGGCCGUCCAGUGC
rfam:Schistosoma mansoni strain Puerto Rico chromosome 1, complete genome